ACAAGGGCAGGUUCAUGGGAGCCUUUAGCCAGCCAAUAAGGAGCCAGCCUUCCCUUUGACCAGAUUUGAAUUAACCAACCAGGCACCAAAGAGAGUUUAACCAAUCAGAUGAGGCUAUAAUGACCAGAUCAACUCUCCAUCUCGUCCCUCCAUCCUUCUAGUCUUUUAUGAGCCAUUAGAUGAAGGUUUUAAGUUUAUGGAAUGUAAAGAGCAUAUAUAAGCCUCUUAUGAUCAUUUUGUAAUCUUUAAGUGAGUAAGGGGGUUUCCCCUCUCCUUCUCUAAUCUAAAACACUAAUCUUCAGUCUCUUAUUCUCUCAGUCUCUCUAGUCUCUUAAGUCUCUUAAUCUUUGUUCUUAAGUCUCUCAUACACUCAUAAACACUCUCACCAAUCUCUCUCUCUAUAUCACCUAGAACAAGCUCUAAUCAUUCUUCAUUGAAGCUUAUACACACACAUAUACUACCAGAGUAGAGAUCUCUUUAAAAAUCAUAUGGUAUCAGAG
rnacentral:lncRNA from 1 species